CAGAAGAUUCUUCGAGCCUAUGACAUUCAGGAAGAACAAGACAUCCAUGUGAGACGCAUCUUGUCUCUCCGUGCACUUUCCAUCUACCUACGAGAAGAUGACUCGGACCUCUUUAAAAGCUGCAAUCAAGACGGAGAACCAGAUGUCUCUGAGUGUCCUCUUGCUCUCCUCACUGCUUCUGAAGACAUAUUCACACCUGGCGAUGUCUCUGUUGUUGUUGAAGGGAACAUUGUUAUGAGUGAAAUUCCAAAAAUGCUUGAUGCAUUCUUACUGUUGUUUGGCCUGAUUUAUGUGUUCAAUAUCGAGUAUCCAAAAAAGCUUGAAAACACGUUUACCUUUAUCCAGAAGAUUAUGGUUUGCCUUGAUGAUCAAACGGCUCUGAAGCCAUGCCUGCU